GAGUCGUGUGGUAAGUACAAAGUGAACUUUUAGCUUUUACUAAAGAAUGCCGUGUACUUGUCACAUAAAACUGGCAUACGCUAAUUUUUAUUUUUUUUUCAAAAGGG
rfam:Glycine soja cultivar W05 scaffold5016_3, whole genome shotgun sequence.